UCUUACGCUGUUGCGGACAGCAGCGCCCUGCCUACUGGCCCAUCAGGGGGUUGCGUGCGCAGCCUCCUCUGUUUCCGCCCUGAGAGCGGGCUCUUCUGAGUCGGGGAGAAUUGGGCAUCGUCACGUGCUCUGUCUGCGCCCCGAGUGGCCUCUUCUCCUCCUCCACAGACACCUCGGGGAGGGGUCAUCCUUCAGACACGCUGAGCCUAGGCUGCCCGCCCUUCCGCAGCCCCGCCCUGGCCGGCUCCUCGCGGCCCACUAGGCCGGUUCUUCCCCACGUCAGGACCCCGCCACCCCACUCUGCCCCUCCACCCGAGGCUGCCUUAUCCUUUUGCUUUCUCUCUUAAAUCUGCUGCCCGUUACUGCUAUUCUACCCUUUGGUUUGAAUGGGGAGGCACUGGCCUCGGAGCUCCUUGCUGCUGACAUCAGUUGUGCCCUUGUAGGAGACGUCCUGGUCCUGUCUGCCUCAGAGGCUUCCAUCUGCGGAUUUCCUGAGGUCGUCCCCUUACUCCUCUGCUGCAGUCUCUCUCAACAUUUCAACUGUCUGCUCCAGAAAGUUACUCUGUCACUAAGUAAAAUAAAUACAAACAAAAUAAGCAAUAAUCUACCCCCUUCCUUUCUCCUCUGGUCCCCUCUCUGUCUGCCUGUCACCCCCUCCUCAAUGAGAACGUGGAUCCCUCGUGGCAUUUCUCUGGAGGGAUGGCCCAGGCUUUCCCAGCCCAUGCACUCUCAGCCAGAUCAUUUGCCUGCGGUCCCAUGGCCGUCUCCAAAAUGUGCUCUCCUCCAAAGACUAGUUUUGCUGAUUGUCUUUGUUGCAAACUGUUUUUCUCCACACUACGCAAUUGGCAUUGCCUUUUUCAAAGUAUAUAUUUGUUUUUAUUUGCCAAAUCCACUUGAAUAUACUCAGCUUUACUAUGGAG
rnacentral:lncRNA from 1 species